rnacentral:rRNA from 1 species
GAUGAACGCUGGCGGCGUGCCUAAUACAUGCAAGUCGAGCGAAUGGAUUAAGAGCUUGCUCUUAUGAAGUUAGCGGCGGACGGGUGAGUAACACGUGGGUAACCUGCCCAUAAGACUGGGAUAACUCCGGGAAACCGGGGCUAAUACCGGAUAACAUUUUGAACCGCAUGGUUCGAAAUUGAAAGGCGGCUUCGGCUGUCACUUAUGGCUGGACCCGCGUCGCAUUAGCUAGUUGGUGAGGUAACGGCUCACCAAGGCAACGAGGGGUAGCCGACCUGAGAGGGUGAUCGGCCACACUGGGACUGAGACACGGCCCAGACUCCUACGGGAGGCAGCAGUAGGGAAUCUUCCGCAAUGGACGAAAGUCUGACGGAGCAACGCCGCGUGAGUGAUGAAGGCUUUCGGGUCGUAAAACUCUGUUGUUAGGGAAGAACAAGUGCUAGUUGAAUAAGCUGGCACCUUGACGGUACCUAACCAGAAAGCCACGGCUAACUACGUGCCAGCAGCCGCCGUAA